rnacentral:misc_RNA from 1 species
UCCGGUUUGUCACCGGCAGUCUCCCUAGAGUGCUCGACUUGACUCGCUAGCAACUAAGGACAAGGGUUGCGCUCGUUACGGGACUUAACCCAACAUCUCACGACACGAGCUGACGACAGCCAUGCAGCACCUGUCUCAGCGCUCCCGAAGGCACCCGUCCAUCUCUGGACAGUUCGCUGGAUGUCAAGACCUGGUAAGGUUCUUCGCGUUGCAUCGAAUUAAACCACAUGCUCCACCGCUUGUGCGGGCCCCCGUCAAUUCAUUUGAGUUUUAACCUUGCGGCCGUACUCCCCAGGCGGUCUGCUUAUCGCGUUAGCUGCGCCACUGAGACCUCAAGGAUCCCAACGGCUAGCAGACAUCGUUUACAGCGUGGACUAC